rnacentral:rRNA from 1 species
UGGGGAAUAUUGCACAAUGGGCGCAAGCCUGAUGCAGCAACGCCGCGUGAACGAUGAAGGUCUUCGGAUCGUAAAGUUCUGUUGCAGGGGAAGAUAAUGACGGUACCCUGUGAGGAAGCCCCGGCUAACUACGUGCCAGCAGCCGCGGUAAUACGUAGGGGGCUAGCGUUAUCCGGAUUUACUGGGCGUAAAGGGUGCGUAGGUGGUCUUUCAAGUCGGUGGUUAAAGGCUACGGCUCAACCGUAGUUAGCCUCCGAAACUGGAAGACUUGAGUGCAGGAGAGGAAAGUGGAAUUCCCAGUGUAGCGGUGAAAUGCGUAGAUAUUGGGAGGAACACCAGUAGCGAAGGCGGCUUUCUGGACUGCAACUGACACUGCGGCACGAAAGCGUGGGUAGCAAACAGG